rnacentral:lncRNA from 1 species
AUAUAUAUAUAUAUACAUACAUAUAUUCGUGUUAAGAGCACAUAGCCGUAGGAGUAAUUCCAGUAUAAUCGUAGGAUAGUACAAAAGAGCAAGUCGGUUGUGGUGUGCCAGGACCGACAAUACGGUAGGCCUGUAAAUAAAGAAGUAAGAAAAAGAAAGGAAAAGAGAAAAAGAAAGGAAGGAAAAGUGUUGAUAAUGUAUAGUGGUUGGAGGGUCAUGCAAACGCUGACCUCGAAUGGUGUGGAGCCAGGUAAGGGGUGUUCCUUAAAUAGGUAAGUGUAUAAUCAUAAGCCCCUCCCACAAUUACAGGCCAAACGACCUUAAUACAUAUAUAUAUAUAUGUAUAUAAAAAUAGAUAAGCAAGGCACUCCUCCUCUACCUUAUUCAACAAAAUCACAACUGCCCAGGUGCAAUCCCGCGUUGAAUAUACAUUAGAAAAUAAAGGGAGCACACUAGGGCUUCUUCUCAGUGGAAAAAAUAUACUUUACUGUAUCAUCAAGUAAUACAUAUUCUAUGCAGAGUAUAAAAAAAUCGACGUUUCGACCCUCCUGGGUCCUUCUCGCGUGAGCACAGAGCGUUGCCGCAGUUACCACGACAACGCUCCGGCUCUCACGAGGGUGAACUCUAGCCCUGGAGCUAGAGUUCACUCUCACCACUGCGACCACCAGGAUUCCUGGUGGUCGCAGUGGUGAGAGUGAACUCUAGCCCCAUACACACAUUUCCCCCACACACACACCAUACACAUUCACAUACUGCCCCCCAUACACACAUUGCCCCACACACGCUACACAUUCACAAACUACACACCCACACACUGAACCUUUCACACAUAUUGCACCACUGCUCCUAUACCCUACUACAGCCCCAUAUCCCAUUAGACUCCAGGUAAGUUGUCAAACUGUUCUUAAACGGUUUGACUACUUACUCUGGGAGGGGGUCCCGGCACUCCUGGCAUCAUAACCACUACACAGAGGAGUAGUGGUUAUUGUGCAUGGAAUAUUUCUUUAAAUAAUCUACAAGUGCCCCUCCCGGGAUCAGGCUCUGGAUCCGCCACUGGUAUAUGACGUGUAUAUUAAUGUGUGUAUUAGUUAUAUAUAUAUAUAUAGAGAGAGAGAGAGAGAGAAUUAUGCCUAUUAUAUUUACACAUAUAUUAAUGUACAUUUAUAUAUGCAUAAUACACAGAGAAAUUUCAUUAAUAUGUACCAUAUGUAAUGAGCAGAUAUUGGCCCAGUCUUGUUGCUAGGUGCAUACUCCAGCACAAUAACAUAUUUAAAGUGAAGAGCACACCCACAGGACUUCAAAAUAAAAAUUUUUACAGUUGUGCCCCACAUACAUUCACCAUUUCAGUCCCAUUACCAAGCUUUCCUUAAUAUGUCAAGGUAAUUGGACUGAAACAUUGAUUACAUGCAAAGGCAUAUGUGCUUAAAAUAAAUCUGCACUUUUGUUUAUUUUGAAGCCUAUGAGUGCUUUUUUUUACGUUGGAGUAAUAAUUUUUAAUUUUAAGUUAUCUGUUCUAACUCUGUAUCUGCACACUAUGCUGGCAUGACGCAUUAUGGGGCUGGUAAAUAUUUUUUUUUCCAGGGCUGCUUUUAAUUCCCAGUCCGGCCCUGCCAGUGAUAGGCUGAGUACGUCAGCUAAUGCUCGAGCGAGUCACUGCCACCUCCUCACUGCUCGCGCUCUCUCUUCCCGAAUUUGCUGAAGCAAAAUGGGAGAAGGAGGGACUGGCACCCAAGGACGCAUUCAAGAAUGAUUCAACUCUUAAACGAUAAGAUAUUAUAGAUUAAAUUGUUAUGGCGCCAGAGGAGUCAUCUAAUUGUGCAUUGACUCACAGUGGCCAUAUUUAAAAAAUUUGAUUGAAUAAUAGAUUUUCACUUAAUGAAGCUGAAAGCUGUUAUUCUGUAAUGUGGACAUCACAACAGAUUAAUUUACAUGAUGUCAGUGGUAUAUGUCUGUAAUGGUGACCUAACAGUGCACAUUUACUUACAGGAGUUCAAUGUCAGGAUUCUGUCAUUAUGACCUCAUUAUACAUGUCCUCUAGCAGAAAUUCAAACUGUUAUUUUGUAAUAAUGGUGUUGCAAUACAUAUGCACUUGGGCAGUGGCAGAAUUACAAAAUGCCUCACAUUGUACAUCAACAACAUUUAUUGAAACAAAAACUAAAUUUGCGUCCUAUUAAAGUAUGCCUGCGUCCCUGGGUGGAAGAUCUGCCAUCAUUUAGGAUGCGUUAUAGCCUUCCAAUGGUUUCCUCUGAUAAUCUCAGCUAAAGUGAAGAGCACACUCAUAGGACCUAAAAAUAAACAAGAUACACCAGUUUAGCAGACAUUCACCAUUUCAGUCCCAUUACCAAACAGUUCUUAAUAUGUCGAGGUAGUUGGACUGAAACAUUGACUAUAUGCAAAUGCAUACAUAUCCAAAUGCUUAAAAUAAAUUCACUCUUUUGUUUAUUUUGAAGCCAUAUGAGUGCUUUCUUUCACGUUGGAGUAAUAUUGUUUAGUUUUAAAUUUCAAGUUCUCUCUUCCACUUCCAUAUCUGCACACUAUGCUGGCAUCACGCAUUAUUGGGCUGAUAUAGGUUUAUUUUCCAGGGCUUUUUUUCAUUCCCAGUCUGGCCCUGUUACAUUACCAUCUAUGACAGCCAGAAGAGCUCCUGAUUUUUGUGACAUGUUUGUACACAGCCAUCCUGCUCUGUUACAUCAAUCUGCAAUCUGGCUAAAACCCACUCGCGGUGUUUAUCGUUGCGGCCAUUGCAAGGCCUGCAACUUUAUUGUACCGACCAAAGAAGUUUAAAAUGUUGUUGCCAACAAGUCAAUGAAACUCAAAUCUUUAAUAAAUUGUUCUUUUGCUAAUGUUAUUUAUCUGGCAAGCUGCUCUUAUGGCAUCCAAUAUAUCGGCAAAACUAUUCAACAGUUCCGCAGAAGGAUUUUGCAACAUGUACAUUCAAUAAAGGCCCACCUUGACACAUCAAUCUCACGCCACAUUCACAACUUGUCAGGCAAAAGAGAUUGUCAAUACAUUAUUGUAAAAGGAGCCUAGGUGGAUCUAUGGGUUCAGGACGUUGUCCCCCGCAAAUCUUAAUGGGGAAUUUAACUUUACGACGUUUAUUAAUUAAUAUAGAGGAUUUCUGGAUAUAUUUUCACUUACGAUGCUUAUACUCCUGUUGUGGAAAUGAGAUAUUAACAUAAUUUUAGCUAGUAAAAUGCCUAUUUACUCCAUUUAGUUAUACUCAGUAUUAUUCAAUAAAUUACUAAACUGACCACUAGAUGUCACUCAGGAGUACCCCACCCAUCGACCAAACACUCUCAUUUUCAAGAUGGCGCUGGAAUCCGGGGGAGAACUUCAUGACGACAGUAAUGACAUGGCACACCCAGUAGGACGUGCUUUGAAUAAAACACUUAACACUUAACCAAUUAUUGAUGUAUUAUUUCAUGUUAUCUCUGACAGUGCUUAUGAUGUAAUUGUGCUUUAUAAGGGACAUGUCGUCCCCCCUGAAUAAACAUUCCAGAGUAUUUCAUCAACCGGGAAACGUGUGUCUGGUGUGAUUUACUUAGGAAAGCAUGCAUGCACCAUAACCAAUUUGGAAAGGGGCAGAUACACAAAAAUAAUCAAUUGAU